AGUGUGGUAGUGUAGUGGUUUGAGCAUUGGACUUUGACUCUGGAGACCAGGAUUCAAAUCCUGGCUGAACCA